rnacentral:rRNA from 1 species
AUUGAACGCUGGCGGCAGGCCUAACACAUGCAAGUCGAACGGUAACAGGAAACAGCUUGCUGUUUCGCUGACGAGUGGCGGACGGGUGAGUCAUGUCUGGGAAACUGCCUGAUGUAGGGGGAUAACUACUGGAAACGGUAGCUAAUACCGCAUAACGUCGCAAGCCCAAAGAGGGGGACCUUCUGGCCUCUUGCCAUCGUAUGUGCCCAGAUGGGAUUAGCUAGUAGGUGGGGUAACGGGUCACCUAGGCGGCGAUCCCUAGCUGGUCUGAGAGGAUGACCAGCCACACUGGAACGGAGACAGGGUCCAGACGCCUGCGGGAGGCAGCAGUGGGGAAUAUUGGACAAUGGGGGCAAGCCUGAUGCAGCCGUGCCGCGUGUAUGAAGAAGGCCUUCGGGUUGUAAAGUACUUUCAGCGGGGAGGAAGGGAGUAAAGUUAAUACCUUGACUCAUUGACGUUACCCGCAGAAGAAGCACCGGCUAACUACGUG